rnacentral:rRNA from 1 species
GUGAGGAAUAUUGGGCAAUGGGCGAAAGCCUGACCCAGCCACGCCGCGUGAGUGAUGAAGGCCUUCGGGUUGUAAAGCUCUGUGGGGAGGGAAGAAAAAGCGGGAGAGUAACUGCUCUCGUGUUGACGGUACCUCCUUAGCAAGCACCGGCUAACUCUGUGCCAGCAGCCGCGGUAAUACAGAGGGUGCAAACGUUGCUCGGAAUUACUGGGCGUAAAGCGCGUGUAGGCUGACAUGCAAGUCGGGUGUGAAAUCCCAGGGCUCAACCUUGGAACUGCACUCGAAACUGCACGUCUUGAGUACUGGAGAGGGAAGCGGAAUUCCGGGUGUAGAGGUGAAAUUCGUAGAUAUCCGGAGGAACACCAGUGGCGAAGGCGGCUUCCUGGACAGUAACUGACGCUGAGACGCGAAAGCGUGGGGAGCAAACAGGAUUAGAUACCCUUGUAGUCC